UAGGUUAUUACAAGAUAUUGAACAUAAUUCCAUGUGCUAUACAGGAAACACUUGUUGUUUAUUUUAUAUAUAGUGGUGUAUAUCUAUUAAUCCCUACUCCUUCCUCUCUUCCCUUUAGUGACCAUAAAUUUGUUUUCUAUAUCUUGUCUGUUUCUGUUUUGUAAAUAAGUUGAUUUGUAUUAUUUUUUUAGAUUCCACAUAUAAGUGAUAUCAUAUAAUAUUUUUCUCUACCCGAUUUACUUCACUUAGUAUGGUAAUCUCUGGGUCCAUCCAUGUUGCUGCAAACGGCAAUAUUUCAUUAUUUUUUAUGGCCGAGUAAUAUUUCAUUGUAUAUAUAUAUAUACCACAUCUUCUUUAUCCAUUCAUGUGUCGAUGGACACUUAGGUUGCUUCCAUGUCUUGUAAACAGUGCUGCUGUGAACAUUGGGGUACACGUAUCUUUUCAAAUUAGCGUUUUCACCUUUCUGGACGUAUGCUCAGAAGUAGGAUUGCUGGAUCUUAUGGUACUUCUAUUUUUAGUUUUUUAAUGAACCUCUACUGUUUUUCAUAGUGGCUGCACCAAUUUACAUUCCCACCAACAUUGUAGGAAGGUUCCCUUUUCUCCACACUCUCUCCAGCAUUUAUUAUUUGUAGACUUUUUGAUGAUGGCCAUUCUGACCAGUGUGAGGUGAUCAAAAGGGAUAUUUUAGUGUUGACGUAAUCGGAGAAAGAGAAAGCAUUCUAAGAUGUAUGUGUCAAGACCACUAUCCUUCAAUAAGUAACAAAUUGGUGUGUGUCUGUUACUGGAAAGGUGUAUUUAACUCAGAUGUCAGCAAAUUCAAAUGGUUAGAGGGGCUAUGCCGCUAAGUUCAGUGAGCAAAAGGGCUGUUUUCAGGGUGGUAAGGAAUAGCCCACUUUCUUCUUAUCUCUGUCAUGGGAAAAACAAUAGUGAAACCACAAUGAUAAAUUACAACCGCCACUUGGCCUCAGUCUGAGGAGGCAAUAGGGCAUGGUGGAGACUGUGGUACAUGGGAAAGCACUUGUACAGGAGGGCACCCACCAUUCAGUGCCAUCAGAUUAUUUGCAUGAGGAAUGGGGGUCUGACCGGUGGCCAGAUUUCCCAAUUUCCCUUUUUUUUUUUUUUCAAGAAAAGCAAAAAAAUGCUAUUUUCUAAGUGAAAGCUCUUAAGCUUAAACAUUGGAAGUUAAUUCUUUAAAUUGUAAAUAUAGCCCAUAGUGUGCUCUGAUGUGAAAUGUGACAGCUGUGGGGCACCAAGCCCUGGUUUAAGUGCUGGGUGCUGUUCUCAUUAAAAGCCCAUCACAUAGUUUAUUUAAGUCUAGUUAUAUGUUGGCAAGCCUUUCUUAUGUGUUAAAAGCCCCUGGGGAAGACAGUUAAAUUAUGAUGAAUGAGUGGUUUAGGAACAUAAAUAAACACUGUCUGCUAGCUUAGGAGGGCAAGCUGGGCUGGUUGCAUUCCAAAUGGCACCCCAAUACAAGGAACUGCACCCAGCAACAUCAUUCCUUAAUAUAAUUGAAGAAGCUCUUAGUAGUUUUUUCAGAGUCUCCACCUUAUUCAUCUGCUUCUUUCAGCUGCACCUACCUUGACUUCAAAUUCCAGUUUUUGUGACACCUCAUUUUGUGUUGGUAUGGAAACAGUUGUGGUCCCACAGACUUAGGGCAACAUCUCUACUGUCACUGAGAAAGGAUGGAGUGUGAUCUGCAUUAUUGCGUACUGUUGGCGGGGUGGGGUUGGCCUUCCCUCUAAAAACAAGAACUUGGGAGAAAGGCCUGCUUCAUUGUACUGAUUUCACUUAAAUUAUGAGACUAAAAUCUGGGUACUGUGAUACGGUGUCUGCAUGGUUUUAAUAUGAAACAAGGAUGUGUUAAUAAAUGUUCAAUCCAAGCUUGAUGUUCAGCAGGCUAGUCCUGACCUCUCUGGCCUAUGUGUCUGAGGAAGGAGGGAUUCUGACAUUCCUCCAGGAUGGUCAAGAGCUCUGCUGUAUCAGGGUCAGGGUGAGUUAGAAAUAGCAGCAGGAUCAAGUGACUUUGUUUGGGGUUGAUUUUUCCAACUCAUGGAACCACUGAGCAUGUUUGAAGGCAGAGAGUUAGAGGCUGUGGAAAGGGAGAAAGCGUAAAGACACUGAAGAGGGAAGGAACAAUGGAGAAGCCUCUCACUGCAAACACCGGCCUGCAAGGCUAGUCCUAGACAUUGUUUUGCAAUUGCUAAGAUUUGUCUUGGAUAACUUUUCCCGUCCUCUUUCUCUGAGGCCUUUCUCACAGGUCAGCAUCACCUCUGACUUGGAGACCCAAGCGUUGUUGCCUCUUGGGGUUAUUCUGUCAUUGAGAAAAAUAAGUUAAUAAUCCUUUUUUCCUCAAAUACACAAAGUGACCUUGAAUGGCAAUAGAGGGUAUACAUGCCACCACUCACCCUUUCCAUGCCCGUGCAGACAUUGCUAAUCAACCACAGCUUUCUCCAUAUCUUUCUUUCCCAAGGAGGCCAUGCCCAAUCUUAGAAUCCUUUCCAAUAUAGUGCUGCUAUUUGUAAUCAAUUAUAAUUGCCACAACGGUUGAAACCUGGAUUUGUUUUUUUCUAUUGAUUCAUAACAAAUUGUCACAAGCUUAUUGUCUUAAAACAACGUACAUUAAUUAUCUCAUAGUUUCCAUGGGUCAGGACACUGGGUAUGAAGUAGUUGGGUUUUCUUCUCAGUCUCCCAGUGUUGCAGUCAAGGUGUUAGCCAAGACCACAGUCUCCUGAGGCUCAUUGUCUCCUUCCAAGUGCAGUGGUUGUUGGCAGAAUUCAAUUCCCUGUGGUUGUAGGACUGAGGCCCUGAGUAACUAAAGGCUACCCAUUGUUCCCUGCCACAUGGCCCUUCCUACAGCAUGGUAGUCUGCUUCCUCAAGGCCAACUAGAGAGUGUCUGUUGCUGCUUGUAAUCUCUCCUUUAAAGGACUUGCCUGAUUAGGUCAGGCCCACCCAAGAUAAUUUCCUUUUUGAUUAGUUCAAAAUCAGCUGAUCAGGGGCCUUAAUUACAUCUGCAAAUCAUUUAUUUAUUUAUUUAUUUAUCUAUUUAUUUAUUUAUUUUUGGCUGCAUUGGGUCUUUGCUGCUGUGCAUGGGCUUUCUCUAGUUGUGGUGAGUGGGGGCUACUCUUCAUUGCGGUGCGUGGGCUUCUCAUUGCGGGGGCUUCUCUUGUGGAGCACAGGCUCUAGGCAUGUGGGCUUCAAUAGUUGUAGCACGUAGGCUCAGUAGAUGUGGCUCGUAGGUUCUAGAGCGCAGGCUCAGUAGCUGUGGCGCAUGGGCUUAGUUGCUCCACGGCAUGUGGGAUCUUCCUGGACCAGGGCUCGAACCCAUGUCCCCUGCAUUGGCAGGGAGAUUCUUAACCACUGUGCCACCAGGGAAGCCCUGCAAAUUUUUAACAUUUGCCAUAUACCAAAACCUAAUAAUGGAAGUAAAAUCUCACCAUAUUCACGAGUUUUGCCCACACCUACAUAAGGGAAUGACACAGAGCAUGUGUACCAAGGGGCAGGAAUCAUGGGGCCAUCUUAGAAUUCUGCUUACUCCAAACCCAGAUGUCAUCCUUGUAAUAGAACCUUGAUUCUGAGCUACUGGCUUUGUUUUUCUUUUUUACUUUUUAUUGUGAAAAAUUUUUAAACAUACAGGAAAGUAGAGAAAAUAAUAUAAUGAAUCUCAUAUACCCAUCUAAUUUAACAGUUGUUAACAUUUUGCCAUAUUUGCUUCUUCUAUUUUCCUACUGAAAUAGUUUAAAAUAAAUUGCAGGCAUUAUGACAUUUCACCUCUAAAUAUUUUAGUAAGAGCAUCCUUAAAAAAUAAGGGCCUUUUUCUACAUAACUGCCUAAUAAAAUUAACAGUGAUCCCCUAAUACUGUUUAAUACAUAGUUUAUAUUCAAAUCUCCCAGGCAGAAUACAAUUCUUAAUGUGCUCUCCUAAUGCCUGUAAACCCUUACAAAAUGCCUGGCACCUAGUGUACUCAAAAAGGUUUGAAUUCCAUCAAAAUUAUAUUCAUAUUUUAUAAUCAUGUUAAAGCAAUGACUCCCGAAGUCCAAUUUCCCCUAGUCCCUCUCACUUCUUUUCACUGCCAGGGUCUGUAAUGAGAUAUUUACAUUAUUUACAGUCUAUAAUAGUGUGGGGUGGAAAAUAAUGGAACCAAGGUACGAGAGCUGUAAUGUGUUACCCUUCUUAGGGAUAUUCAAAUUUUAAAAGAGGCCAUCAAUUAAAUAAAUUGUUUAAAUAAUAAAAUAAAAGAUACCAGCAGAGAAAGACCCAAAUAUGUGAUGGCGGGCAGAUAUCUUGAGGAGAGGCUUAUCUGACACCCUGAAAACUGUAUCAAGCUGCUUACUGAGACCUCCCCAGGUAAGAAGGGGUCUAGAGAGAGCACAGUGGGCACUUGGCUUUCUGAAUGAUGACAGCAGUGUCAGGGCAGGGUCUGGCAGUAAGGGGUAGGCACAGAUAAGAGGGUGCCCUGUGACCCUUUCUUCCCUUGAAUCUGCUAAAGUUUAGGGGUGAUGAAAGGGAAGAAAGCCUGGAAAAUGUAUAAACUUUGAUAACAGGGAUAUAUGACUUCACAUCCUACUUCUACAUCUUAGCUCUUGGCCUGUGGGCAAGUCAUUCUACUUCCCUGAAUGUCUACUUCCUUAAGCCCAAAAUGGUUGUUACAACGACACCAACCUCGCAGUGUUAUUAGGGGGAUUAGAAGACAUAAAAUGUAUCAAGUGCCUGGCAAGUGGCAGCAGUAGCUAUUGGGAUCCGAGAGACUGGUAACGGUAAUGGUGACCUUUGGGACAGGAUAAAGGGGCUACCAUUGCCACCACCACGCUUUUGGGUUGGGGAAAAUGCCAUGCUGGAGAAGGCAGCCCCCUCUUACUCAGAUCCUAACAUCACCCCACUUCACCCCCAUACCUGGCCAGCUUGCAACACACCAGGUAGGAGGCAACCCAGCCCUGCCAGGGGAAAACCACUGGCCCCUGGGGGUGCGGUUAACUCCUGUUCUUCUGAGAAGCUGGGGUGAGUGUUUUCCCCAGUGGUGGAUCCCCAGGCUGUUUGCAGUACAAGUAAAUGCAUCCAGGUGACAUAGCCCAAGUGGAACUUAUUGCUUUGCUGCCUUGAAAGGUGGAACUCCACGCCUGGGGAGAGCUUUGUUGGAGAAGGCUCAGGAUGACACCCUCUGUGGACCCAACUGAAGCAAUGGGAAUGAGUUCUCUCUGUCCCUGAGAAGACAGCAGUGACAAAGCUGAUACGCGUUUGAGAUUUGCGAAUGCUGCUGUCUCAAAGACACCACUUGUCACUUCCUUCCCAGCGUUGAUGUGACGUGGUUGUCUUGUUCGGCCGUUCUCCUCACUCAGUGUGGUGGUAUUCUCCAUUGGGAUGGGGCAAGAAGAGGAGCCGUAAGCAGCAGUCUGAGUUCCGCACACCCAUCCCUGGACAGUGGUUGGGAGAGCGGGUGCGAUUUUGAAAGGGGGCUCUCCCAGACUGACGGUUCUCCUACACAAGGAGGUGCUGUACCAAAAGAGAAAAAAAACCCCAAAACCAACGCAAGCCAAGUGCAUGAUCCCACAGGCCCCUCUCCACACACUUGCUAGGCCUUGUUUUUCCUUGUCCUUGGUGACCAAAAGAAUUCAACUCAGAGCAUUUUGUGCCAAGUUACACACAAUUGUCAAUUAUUUAGGGAUGGAUGGACUACACUUUGGAGUUCUUCAAGUCCUUCAUUUUUUCUCUUUGCCUUCCCUGCUAUCUGCCAAAUCUCCUUCAGAGGACAGAUAAAGGAAGUGAAACACAAAUUAAUCCAGCACUUCUCAGCAGCUUUCAAAAGGGUUUUAUUAGGAAGAUGGGAUCUAGUUAAAUGAGAUGUGGGUAUUAUCUGUGCUUUAUACCAACCCGGUCUUCAGAAUCGUGAGUAAUCUCUAGUCAACUCUACUUACAGAUAACUUCUGUUAGUUACUUCUUUAUUCCAUUAAAGUAGCUCAGAAAGUCAAAUAAAUACCAGAUUUAAAAAAAAGAAACCUUCAUAUAUCUGAAAAGGUGAGUGCUAUUGAGAUAGUCAGGUAUAAAAGUUUACAGGAAAUUUCAAGGUGAUCAUAGUUUCAUUUGGAUCCUAGUUACCAGUUACAACUUGAUCCAUUGAAAGAAAUAUUAACUACACUAGGAUUUAGUCACAAAUGUCUGACAUGUCUUUAAAGGAGCAGUUUAAACCUAAUGAACCUUAGUUCCCUCAACUGUAAAAUAAGGGAGUAGGGAAACAAUAGUUCUGAGGGCCACUCCAGGUCCAUCGUUCUCUUUCCUUCUGGGAAUUCUGGAAAACCUAAGCCCCAAAUGUGCUGAUACAUUUUAAUGAAUUAGAGUUUAAAAAAAUAUAGGCAUACAUCAGAGAUAUUGUGGUUUCGGUUCCACACCACUGCAAUAAAGCAUAUAUCUCAGUAAAGAGUCACACAACUUUUUUUUUUUCCUGGUGCAUAUAAAAGUUAUGUUUCCACUAGACAGUAGCCUAUUAAGUGUGCGGUAACAUUUUGUCUAAAAAAACAAUGUGCAUACCUUACUUUAAAAAUACUUUAUUGCUAAAAAAUGCUAAUCAUCAUCUGAGCCUUUAUCAAGUCGUAAUCCUCUUGUAAUAGUAAUAUCAAAGAUCACUGAUCACACAUCAGCAUACAAAUAUAAUAAUGAAAAAGUUUGAAAUAUUGCAAGAAUUACCAAAAUGUGACAGAGACACGAACUGAGCAAACCCUGUUGGAAAAAUGUCAACAAUAGACUUGCUUGCUGCAGGGUUGCUACAAACCUUCGAUUUGUAAAAAAAUGCAAUAUCUGCAAAGUUCAAUAAAACAAGGUAUGCCUGUAUUAGGAUUAGCAAUAAGAGAGAAUCAUUUAAAAAAUUAACAGUGAAGCUCUUUCCAGCCCUAUAUGUUAGGCUUGCUCCCCUCAACCCACCUCUACCUCCAUCUCCUUACCUAAUCCUACCCUGCAAUGUUUGAAAUAAGAAGCCAGUGAAGAAACUGCAUAUUUCUGGUUUGAAUUAUUAACUUACUUAAAUUCAGGGUGACCAUCUGCUACAGAAGGGAUUUUAACAUGGAGUGGGAGGUUAAAUCAGAUGAACUCCAGGUACCAUUUUAAUACUCACUUUCUGAUUUGAAAUUCAAAUUUGAAAAUUUGAUAUUAAUUGUACAAAAGAACCAGGGCAGAGACCACUUAGAGCCUAGAUCACACACUUGUGGUCUGUGGUUGGAACU